rnacentral:rRNA from 1 species
UGGGGAAUAUUGGACAAUGGGCGCAAGCCUGAUCCAGCAAUGCCGCGUGGAUGAAGAAGGUCUUCGGAUUGUAAAGUCCUUUCGGCGGGGACGAUGAUGACGGUACCCGCAGAAGAAGCCCCGGCUAACUUCGUGCCAGCAGCCGCGGUAAUACGAAGGGGGCUAGCGUUGCUCGGAAUGACUGGGCGUAAAGGGCGCGUAGGCGGAUGGCUUAGUCAGGGCGUGAAAGUCCUGGGCUUAACCUGGGGACGGCGCUUGAGACGGGGUUAUCUUGAGUGGGGAAGAGGGUCGUGGAAUUCCCAGUGUAGAGGUGAAAUUCGUAGAUAUUGGGAAGAACACCGGUGGCGAAGGCGGCGACCUGGUCCUUUAACUGACGCUGAGGCGCGAAAGCGUGGGGAGCAAACAGGAUUAGAUACCCUGGUAGUCCACGCUGUAAACGAUGUGCGCUGGAUGUUGGGCGGCCUAGCCGUUCAGUGUCGUAGCCAACGCGAUAAGCGCACCGCCUGGGGAGUACGCACGCAA